rnacentral:tRNA from 1 species
GCUGAGGUAGCCAAGUCCGGACUACGGCGCCAGCCUUGAGAGCUGGUGGUGCUUAGCACCACGGGAGUUCGAAUCUCCCCCUCAGCG